UUACUCUACCUUGAAGUGUUGGUGAUCUUUCAGCGCUUAGUCAAUCGACAACUUUUGAAAGCAAUGUUUAAACAAGUAUAGAGAUCAUUACACGCAAAUCCUAAUGCUCAUACACUGAAGGCCGCUGAUUUUAAAGAUCGAGCGUGACUCCAGCUGCACGUUAAAGUUUGGCUUUGUGAAUAGGCAUCCUCUCGCCAUGAAGUAGUUGCCACAGAAAGAUGGAUUUGCAUUCCAGACAGCAGCUUUCAUCUCAUGCUGCAUGGUCACGAUCGCAUGCACUUCUUAUGCUUUCCUGGAUAUUUACAUGGACCAAGACACACUCGCUGAAACUCUUGUGUCUUACAUGAGGAUUUAAUCGAGCGGAGGAUGGCAGAUAUUAGGACAUAUAAUGUUGUAAUUUUGGGAAUAUGAUUUUUGCUAAUUUUCACACCCUUCACCACCUGUGGUAAAAAAGUUGUGUUUCAUUCUUAUUGGAUUCUACUGAAAUGGAUGGUAGGGUGGCAUGCUUAUUAUGCUGCUGUGUGUUUGAAAAUAUGUUUGAAUUUUAGCAAUACCUAUGCCAAAACAUAAGAAUUGCAUGCCUUUAAUGUUUGCAGCAGUAUUAAGUUUUUAGUUAGCAACAGUUUCUACCAAAAUAGAGCGAAAGCUAGUUAUUUUAACAUGAUAAAAUGUCCUUCAGACAUAUAGGUUAGUCAUAGUUUUAUUGCAGUAACAACACCAUGGUGAAAGGAAAGUGUGUGUGUGUGUGUGUGCUGGUAUAUUGACAGGGCAAGUAUUAAUCUGAAUGUGAAUCAGACAGAUUGGGAAGCAGAAUAAAAAUCCUUAUUGCUGGAACUGUGAAAGGAAAUGUUAAGCUUUUUUUGUUUUAGGUGUAAAGUGGAAAUUCUCAGUAAACAUCAUGAUUCACUAAAUGGAUAAGUGAAUUUACUUCAAUCUUGCUGAUAACAGAGACUGGCCCUCCUCUUCAGAGAGAACUUCUUCCUGCUGACAGACCUUCCUCAAUGCAAGGAAACUCAGUGUCCCGAGUGCUAAGAUAACCAUCAGAGCAGUAAACAACCUUUCUGUCUUUAUCUGUGGGUAAAAUAUGUGACAGAAAAAAAAAUGUUAAAAUGUAUGUGUAAAUUUUGAAAUAUUUUUGCCAUUUGAGAGUUGGCAUAUAGUUAGCAGACAUUAAAUAAGUGCUGAUUAAGUUAAAUAAAAGAGUGAACACAAUAAAGUUGCUUUUAUCAAAAUAUGAUUUUCAA